GAUGAACGCUAGCGGCAGGCUUAACACAUGCAAGUCGAGGGGCAGCACGGUGUAGCAAUACAUUGGUGGCGACCGGCGCACGGGUGCGUAACGCGUAUACAAUUUGCCUUAUACUGGGAGAUAGCCCGGAGAAAUUCGGAUUAAUAUCCCAUAAUAAUUUUGGUCCGCAUGGAUUGAUUUUUAAAGCUACGGCGGUAUAAGAUAAGUAUGCGUCUGAUUAGCUAGUUGGUAAGGUAACGGCUUACCAAGGCAACGAUCAGUAGGGGGCCUGAGAGGGUUAUCCCCCACACUGGAACUGAGACACGGUCCAGACUCCUACGGGAGGCAGCAGUGAGGAAUAUUGGUCAAUGGAGGCAACUCUGAACCAGCCAUGCCGCGUGUAGGAAGAAGGCCCUAUGGGUUGUAAACUACUUUUAUUGGGGAAGAAACCCUCUUACGUGUAAGAGGCUGACGGUACCCAAGGAAUAAGGACCGGCUAACUCCGUGCCAGCCGCCGCGGUAAC
rnacentral:rRNA from 1 species